rnacentral:lncRNA from 1 species
CAUCAAAUGAGAGAUCCCUCUCUGAAAGGGGCUAUGUAGAAGGCUGUGAGUAAGCCACAUGCUGUUUUUCAUCUCCCAGCAUUGUACCCUUACUCCUCCUCUUUAUAUUGAAAUAACACAGUGAAACAGGCUGUGUGUAUCUGGGGGAGGAGAGGGAAACAGAGAAGUUGCAACUAUGGGGAUGGAUCUGGAGCAAUCCAGAUUUUCAUUUGCCCCCUUUCCACACUAAGGUUGUGGAAGCUUUGCUCCUGACCCAUUUCUUCUUCCAUUAUGCUGUAAUGUUUGGAAAAAUACAGAGAAGGAUUUAUGGAAAGUGCUUCAAAGUCUAAUUUUCCUCUUAAAAUCUCCAGUAGAUAUCUCUCUGAGCUCCGCUUCACAUGGGUGAAAAAUGCCUUCAUUAUAAGGACUGAUCAUUAGUGGAUGUGAAGUUGAGAAGAUGAUGAAGAUGAGUUGUUGGCUCUGGCAGAGAAUUGACCCAUCAGUGUCAUUAAGUGAACUGCAGCAAGCCCAGCAAUUCCCAUGGGGCAAAUCAUCGAAUUCCUCUGGAGCAAAGAAAGUCGAAAAGCAUGAGAAGUUCCUUCCCUACCUGAACUCAAGAUUUGGUCCCAUGACCUGUCACUUCCAGCACCUUUCUGUGAAUGAAAUAUUGCAGAAAAAAUAACCUGAGAGUGAAAUGGAAAACAGGCUUUCCAAAUGGACCUGAUGCUGAAACUUGAAAAUAAAACUGUGAUUCUUAGGCCUAGGAAAGAAAGA